rnacentral:rRNA from 1 species
GACGAACGCUGGCGGCGUGCUUAAUACAUGCAAGUCGACUGAACUUAAGGUAGCAAUAUUUUAAGGGAGGUGGCGCACGGGUGAGUAACACGUAGGUAAUCUGCCUUUAGGACUGACAUAACUCCGCGAAAGCGGAGCUAAUUUCAGAUGAUGCAGCGGCUCGACAUCGAGACAGUUGUUAAACCUUCGGGGCCUAAAGAUGAGCCUGCGUCUGAUUAGGUAGUUGGCGGAGUAAUAGCCCACCAAGCCAUCGAUCAGUAGCUGGUCUGAGAGGAUGAUCAGCCACACUGGAACUGAGACACGGUCCAGACUCCUACGGGAGGCAGCAGUAAGGAUAUUGCUCAAUGGCCGAAAGGCUGAAGCAGCAACGCCGCGUGGAGGAUGAAAUACUUUUGUAUGUAAACUCCUGUAAGAAGGGAAAAUAACAGAUUUUCUGUGUUGAUUGUACCUUCAGAGUAAGCCCCGGCUAACUACGUGCC